rnacentral:rRNA from 2 species
UUGCCAGGGAACUACGAGCUAAGCUUAAAACCCAAAGGACUUGACGGUACCCCAUAUCCCCCUAGAGGAGCCUGUCCUAUAAUCGAUAAUCCACGAUUGACCUCACCAUUUUCUAGUUUAUCAGCUUGUAUACCUCCGUCGUCAGCUUACCACGUGAGCGCUUAACUUAGUGAGCUUAAUGUUGUUUCACCCACACGUCAGGUCAAGGUGCAGUAUAUGUAAUGGAAAGAGAUGGGCUACACUUUCUACCCUAGAACACACGAAAAACUAAAUAUGAAAUCUAGUUAGAAGGCGGAUUUAGUAGUAAAAAGGAAUUAGAACGUCCAUUUUAACUCGGCACUGGGGUGUGUACACACCGCCCGNUCACCCUCA